UGAUUUGCUCCCAGCACCUGAGAAGCGCCGUGGUGAGUAGCAGAGAGUAACAACCGUGCUUUUCAGGUGUUGCGCUAAUUACUCUGCCCAAGUAGCGUUGCUUUGCCUUCUGUGGAGAAUAGUUCCCAGUAUGUAUGCGGUUAGAAGAUGGCUGUCUCAUGUGACCUUCU